AGGGCUGGGGCUGCCCGAGCAAGCUUGUCCUCGGCCCGGGCGGCCGGGAAGUCCGGGGCUGGGCACGGGCCAGUGCUCCCGGAGGGUGCAGGCGGCCGUGCACCUGUGCGGGGCCGCUGGGGGUCCUGCGGUCCUCGGCUCCACCCAGCACUUCCUGGGCCGCUCGACCCUUGACGGUGGCGGUCACUAGGGCCCCGAGCGGCCAUAUUGGCUUUGCCGGCAGGCCACUGUGUCCCGGUGCGGGCAGGGUCUGGGUCUGAGCAGCACUGACCUGCUGAGGGCGCUGAUGUGGCAGGUCCCGGCCUGCAGGGGGCGCUGGUGUGCAGGGUCCUGGCCUGACCGGGGGGG
rnacentral:lncRNA from 1 species